UACGUAGGGGGCUAGCGUUGUCCGGAUUUAUUGGGCGUAAAGAGCGUGUAGGCGGCCAGGUAGGUCUGCUGUGAAAACUCGAGGCUCAACCUCGAGACGUCGGCGGAAACCAUCUGGCUAGAGUCCGGAAGAGGAGAGUGGAAUCCCUGGUGUAGCGGUGAAAUGCGCAGAUAUCAGGAAGAACACCCGUGGCGAAGGCGGCUCUCUGGGACGGUACUGACGCUGAGACGCGAAAGCGUGGGGAGCGAACAGG
rnacentral:rRNA from 1 species